rnacentral:rRNA from 1 species
AUUGAACGCUGGCGGCAGGCCUAACACAUGCAAGUCGAGCGGAUGAAGGGAGCUUGCUCCUGGAUUCAGCGGCGGACGGGUGAGUAAUGCCUAGGAAUCUGCCUGGUAGUGGGGGAUAACGUCCGGAAACGGGCGCUAAUACCGCAUACGUCCUGAGGGAGAAAGUGGGGGAUCUUCGGACCUCACGCUAUCAGAUGAGCCUAGGUCGGAUUAGCUAGUUGGUGGGGUAAAGGCCUACCAAGGCGACGAUCCGUAACUGGUCUGAGAGGAUGAUCAGUCACACUGGAACUGAGACACGGUCCAGACUCCUACGGGAGGCAGCAGUGGGGAAUAUUGGACAAUGGGCGAAAGCCUGAUCCAGCCAUGCCGCGUGUGUGGAGAAGGUCUUCGGAUUGUAAAGCACUUUAAGUUGGGAAGAAGGGCAGUAAGUUAAUACCUUGCUGUUUUGACGUUACCAACAGAAUAAGCACCGGCUAACUUCGUG